rnacentral:rRNA from 1 species
AUAAUGGGUCAGCGACUUAUAUUCUGUAGCAAGGUUAACCGAAUAGGGGAGCCGUAGGGAAACCGAGUCUUAACUGGGCGAAUGAGUUGCAGGGUAUAGACCCGAAACCCGGUGAUCUAGCCAUGGGCAGGUUGAAGGUUGGGUAACACUAACUGGAGGACCGAACCGACUAAUGUUGAAAAAUUAGCGGAUGACUUGUGGCUGGGGGUGAAAGGCCAAUCAAACCGGGAGAUAGCUGGUUCUCCCCGAAAGCUAUUUAGGUAGCGCCUCGUGAACUCAUCUUCGGGGGUAGAGCACUGUUUCGGCUAGGGGGUCAUCCCGACUUACCAACCCGAUGCAAACUACGAAUACCGAAGAAUGUUAUCACGGGAGACACACGGCGGGUGCUAACGUUCGUCGUGAAGAGGGAAACAACCCAGACCGCCAGCUAAGGUCCCAAAGUCAUGGUUAAGUGGGAAACGAAGUGGGAAGGCUCAGACAGCCAGGAUGUUGGCUUAGAAGCAGCCAUCAUUUAAAGAAAGCGUAAUAGCUCACUGGUCGAGUCGGCCUGCGCGGAAGAUGUAACGGGGCUAAAC